rnacentral:lncRNA from 1 species
CAAUAACAAUUGGGAGCCUUAUUUCAGAGCCAUAGACCAUAGAUGCGGGUGUGACACCAAUGGCUUCAUGUACAGAACUACGAUGGGCCAUUAAGCAUAAAGAUUCAAACACCAGUCACUAACCCAGUUGAAGAACAAGACAAGUCAAUUUUCGCAAUUUAUGUACACUUAUUCAAUAAACAACACUGUUCUA